CUGGCAUAUGGAAGCUCCAGGAUCCUACAUUUCUCAGAAGGGAUCUCUGCCACUUUAAAUGUACCAGUCUGAGACAUCAUCUUCACAGUCCCUUGAAGUAGAUGGCACUGACCAGGAUCAUAUCAGUUUGUGAACUCACGGAGCUUGGUUGGAGGAUAUUUUUGAUGGACCCUUUCAAAAUGCAUAGGAAAAGAGAACAUGAAUUGAUGAUCUGUCGUGCUUCCUCUGCAGCUGUUUUGAAGUCAACUUCUUCCAGCUCUGCCUUGUAGAAUUUCUGUGCACACUUUAUGUAUUCCUAUAAGCAGAAG